UUUCAGAUCGUUGCUCAGCACACUGUUAAAAAGCCACGCCUCCAUGCCUCUACGCCGAGGUUUGAGCUGGCGAGGUUUUUCGGCGACGUGGGUCUACCGCGGCGAGGACGCCCAACCUUCGCAAUAUAAUAUAGAGCAUUCUUCAGCGAGGGUUUUACCGGAGGCUGAACACUGAGCGAGGAUCUUGGCGUUCUCGGCUCAGGUGUGGACCGAGGGAAGUUUUGCUUCAGCUUGUUACGAAACAGAUCAGAAGUUUCUGGAACCAUUUCAGCUCCUUUCUUGGAGAUGACCAUAAGAUGUUCAUAAGAAUAAUGUUCUUGGAGAUCUAACUUUGCUUCAGGAUUCUGUGUGUUGAUUUCACCGACUGCUCGUUUAUUAAUAAGUCUUUAUUUAUAUUAUUGUUGAAAACAACUCCAAAUUUAAGAAAGAGGUAAGUUUAGUUUUAUAGAAGAGAGAGCAGUCUCUUUGUCAUAGCUACAAAUAUAAAAACACAUUAAAUCUGCAUCUGUAGAUGACAGUCAGCAAUGCAGCUCCAUUUAAAAGCAUUAAGAUAGAAAUUAAAGUGUGAAUGAGCGACUGCUGUUGUCUGAACUUUUAAUGUGACUCUUUCCUUACUUGUUUAAAAUAUCUUAAUGAUCAGUCAUUACUGCUUUUCCUAAAACCUCAACACAGAAAAAGAAUAAAAACUAAAUGAUGUGAAAUUCAUCACUUUAUUGCUCUACAGCUCUUUUUUUGUCUUUCUUUCGUACAGGGUUCACAAUUGCUUUACGUUAUGUGAUGUGAGAACAAGGUGUGAAUUACUGGGAAAAGUUUUUACCGGUAACCAAUGAAAAACUGACACACCACACACUUACUUGGAAAAUAGUUUCUGGGCGUGUCGGUUUACGUGAAGCACCUGAAUGGGAACUUACAUUAGCCUGUUUGAAAGUGGAAAAAAGUCCAAGAAAAGAGCACUUUUUAAAAUAGAAUAAGAAGUCUAUAAUAUUUCAAGGAAUUGAUUUAAGUAGCGCCGUGAUUUAGAUGUAAUCAGUGUACUGUUUUCUAAUAUUGUCACUAAUAAAAGAUGAAUAUAAUUUAAGGUGUUUUCAAACUGCUGCCAGCUUUUGAAUCUAUACUGAGCCUUUCAGUGUUUUCUCCUUGUGCCUCUGUGGACUGUCUCUGGCACCAAAGUUUCCUCUCAAAGUCCAAAGACAGACAUGUUUGUUCCUGAGUCUGGGUUAGGGAUUUGUUGAAACACCUGAAGCACCUUCUGGUACUUUCUGCGGGACGGACUCACCCAGUUGAACUGCAUUCCACUAAACAAGUUUUUACAGGGCCUGUGCGUCAGAGAUGAAGAGUGCUUGCGUGCAUCUCUUCAAAUUUUCCGUCAGUACACAAGUCAUUCUUACAACUGCUCCUGUCACUCAACUCUCUGGGUUUAUGAAAUAGCAAAAGAAAUGUUGAAAGAAAUGUUAGACCGAAACCAUUCAGAGCUGAAGAGCCUGUUUUAUUCAGAAAUCUGGAGUCAAGGUGAACUCAGUAAUCAUCAAGCUUGAAUCUCCUCUAUCAUGUUUUUAACUCUUUCACAAUAAGAAGCUGAUAAAAAAAAUAAAAAUAAAAUCUUGAGAUAAAAGGGGUUUCAUUAAGAAACAAGCAAAGAGAGUGCUCUGCUGUGCUUUGCUCUUUAACAAGGUGACGGUGGAUUUUUUUGGAUUUUGUUUGGAGAAUCCAAACAAGUGUUCGUGUAUAACAUGGUCUGAUAUGUGUGUAUGCUGUAUGUACAUUUUUUUUUCAAAAAUGUAUCUUUCUGUCUAUGUCAUGUAAUGCUCUGUAUUUAAUAAAGUAAAUAUUAUGAUUCAGACAGCAGCACAAGACACUUUCAGUUUUUGAGUGUUUUUAAUUGUUGCAUUUUUGGCAUCACCUAUUUCACCUAUUUCAAUGUUGUAAAUGAGUCUUGUAUAAAACAUCAAAAUAAACUGUUUACUUAAACAA